AUUUCGUUGGAGACGUACCGUUAAUUCGGGUAACGAACGCAACCCUUGCCCUGUGUUUUAUAUGUCACAGGGGACUGCCCGAGAUAAUUGGGAGGAAGGUGAGGAUGA
rnacentral:ncRNA from 1 species